UCUUAUUGAUAAUAAAAAAAUAUCAUUCUAUACACAUUUAAAACCAUUUUAAGUGCCAACGAAGCCCUAGAUCAACUUGCUUUUUUAUUAAUUAUAAUAAAGAUGGGAGAGAAUAAAAAAACAAUUAAUAAUUGGGAUAUUGUCUAGUAACACUUGUAAACAACAAUGAAAACUUUUUUUUUUUUAGAAUCAGGGAUCCUCUACAUCUAGUCUAGAUCUAGAUUAUAGAUCUAAAUCUAAUCUAGAUAUAGAACAGUAGCCUUCUGGAUCUAGAUAGAUGCACAUCAUAUCACAUGUUUCUUGUGGACCAGUUCCCGGAUCAUAUGGUAAUGCUAGGGCUGAAUAUGACAACCAUUCCACCCCUGAAGUCAAGCAUUUUAUCACAAGGCAACCAUGCAAUGAAAGGAAUCAGUAGCAUGUGUCAGAGAAAACAAUCCAUGACUUUAGCCAUGUCGGAGCACUUGAUAGGCAGUGGUGCACUGGGAGUGCUAGUGUUUGCUUCUGUAAUGUUUUUGUAUAUAUAAGAAAGAUUUGUACAGACUCCACCAUACACAAAAUGUCAGCAGGCAGGAUUGGUGAAGUGAGACAAUUCUGACUUGAUAAUUACUGAUGCAUUAAUCUUCUAUAUGUCCAGGUCAAAUAACAUGAAGGAAAAUUGUAUGACCAGAAGUCAACAUGUCGCUGGGACAUUAUGAAUAAGUUUUGAAAGUAUUUAGUUCAGAUGAUGUUCCUACAUGAAGUCCUAUCAAGUACAUGGAUGAAGACUUGAAUAGAGAACUCAACAGGGCAUUGGGACAUUGGGAUUAAGGUGGUUUUAAGUUAUUAGACCGUUGUAUUUUAGGUCAGUCUUGUUUUGUAAUUUGUUAUUAUGAUUGUGUCCCAAGUAGAGAUGGGAAUCGAACCCAACUUUUAAAGUUCGGGUUCAGUUCGGUUCGGUCAGAUUUAAGUUCGGUUCGGUUCAAUGACGAGUAUAGUUCGGGUUCGGUUCGGUUCGGUCAGGUCUAAAGUUCGGGUUCGGCUCGGUUCGAUGUUAUGAAAUUAUGUCAUAUCAAAAUUAAGUUAUAAGGUUUAAUGCAAUUUAUUAGUUAAAACUUUUUAUUUGAAUUUUUACAUAAAACAAAUACUUUGCAAUAUAUAAUAGGCCUAUGGGCAAUACUUUUUCCAACAUAAUGUUGCCUACAUACAUUUAAAGCGUUGUAAAAAUUUCUUAAUGGAGAUAGAAAUAAAGAUGUGGUAGGUUUUCGCUCAAGUAGGCAAGUGGUUUAAUUCAGGGCGUGACUCGGCGCUAAGCGAAUUUUUUUAAAAGGCUAAUAUCGAUGUGCUUUCUUUCAGAACACACUAUUCAUCAAAAUAAAAAAAAAAAGUCGAGGGCCAUAUUAAAUCUAAUAAUAAAGAGGCAGACCUGGCCAAUAGAAUUAUGCAAGGGACAUUCUAGGUAUUGCGCACAUACUUCUAUAAUGGGCGUGAUCUUUUUAAACAAAUAUUCGUGUAAAGACGUCUCUAUCGAGGAUUUUUUUUCACAUAUAAGUCGUCACUAUUAUAAAUUGCAAUAUACGGAAGAAAUUCGACUAUUCUGAGACAAAAAAAAAUGCAGAAGAAUCACACUAGCGGAGAUGUUUUAAAAUGUUUUCUUCAAAACGUUUUGACCCAUAUUGUGCCUACGCGCCUCGCAAAAAGCAGUCUUCAGUUGACAAGGUCUUAUUAGAAGAUAAAAUGGCACCUCCACUUAAUAUAUUUUAAUUUUUAAACAUGUAAUUAUACUAAUAUUCAGAUAAGUUACACUAAAAAUAAAACUUUUUUUUUCGAUGCUCCCUCUCUUUGUUAGUUGGUCGUUGGUUUGUCGCUUACAAACAGCUAGUACAAUUGAACCAAUAUAGGCAUUUUAUAUUUUUACCGGUAAGGAUAGUAUAGAUGGACUUCUUAUGGUCCGAUAGUUAUGCUGGGCAGGGCACGUAUCCCGUAUGGGAAACGAACGUAUGCCAAAGGCAGUCUUUUUUUUUUUUUUGUGAGCUAAAAGGUGGUCAACGUUACAGAGGCGCCCCAUGGAAACUCUUCAAAGACCAGCUUAGGAGUCAACUUUCCUUAGCUGACAUAGAAGAGAGCACCUGGUUGCACGUGGCCUUAGAACGAGUCAGUUGGAGUUCACUCCCGAAGGCCGCGGGAUACACAUUUGAGACCAAAAGAAAAUCCGCUGCCGGGGACAAACGCAGACGCGAAAAGAAAAACUAAAUCAACCACCUGCGAACAGUGGUUAUGCUUGCCCUGGAUGUGGCAAAAUAUGUAGGUCACAGCUGGGCCUGCACAGCCAUGGGAAAAACUGCAUUCCUCACUAAUCUUCGGACUCGAAGACAAGCCUUAGAAUAACAUUUAAACUUAAUACACUUUCAAAUAAAGUUCUUAUGUGAACAACUCAAUAUAGCCUAACUGUUAUUACAAUAUUCACAUAUUUAACUUGUGAUAGAGAUGUAAUAUUAAUGAAAUAUACUGAUAUUUAAACAAAAUCUAGGUCACCACAAAACAACGUCUUUACUCUUUCAUGUCUCAAGAUUGUUUGCCGUUUCACAUUUGCAUUACACUAAUUUCAUCAUCCUUAAUGCAUAAACACCAAUCAAUCGCUUAACCUCUUCUUAUCGCCACCAGACAACACACACACACACACUCUCUGACACCCCUUUUUGUCAGGAAGUUGCGUCUCCCCAUCCCCCAAUUCAAGGUACUAACCAUCCCCACCCACGGGAGAGGACCCAAAGUUUGAGAAACGCUGCAUUAAAAAUACUGAUGAUCAAUGCAAAACAGAAUAAUAGUAAAAAUAUUCAGGGGCGUAGAUAGGAAUUUUUCAUCAUUUGGGGGCCCGGGAGGGGCUGGACCUCUUUGGGGGCCCCUGCAUUUUGCGUAAUAUUGAAUAUUUGUUGUAAAAAACACUAAUUUGGGGCCCCCCUCAAGUGGGGGCCAGGGGGGGGGGUUACAUUUCUCACCCUCCUCCCUCACCCUUGCUACGCCACUGAUAAUAUUCCAAUAUGGAAUACUUCACAAUUUUUGUAAAAAUAAAUCACUUAAUAGAAGAUAAUUAAAAUUUAUUUUAAACUAGAACACAAAUGAACUUAUUUAUAUCUACACUCUCUAAUCGGCAAAAAAUAUUCUACUCUCAACUAACAGUCAUCUCAAAUAAAAGUGACAAUGUUUUAAUGUUGACUUUCUACUUACUAGGAACUUGAAUCUAGAUCUAGAUCUAAUUAGAGGGCGCCUAUUCGACUCAAAACCAAUAUUGCAAACAGCCCGCGAAAAUUCAAGGUUAGGGGAGAGUCGGCACGUACUGAAAAACCCAUGGUAAUCAAAGCGAGCCGCUUUUUUUUUUUCAAAAUACCACCCUCCCCCCUCCCAAGUUUUCAAAGUAUAAUGGAAUCAUUAGAAUUUAAAUAAAAUAUUGAAUUAAUUUUUAUUUUAAACCCAAAACAUAAAAAAAGGGAUGUAAAAAUUGCAAAAUUAGUUCGGUUAAGAAAAGGAGGGUUCGUUCGGUUCGGUUCGUACCAAGCAGUUUCAAAGUUCGGGUUCGGUUCGGUUUGGUCAUAAGUGAGGUUCGAGUUCGGUUCGUUCGGUUCGGGUUCGGUUUGUUUCCCAUCUCUAGUCCCAAGUCACCUUGUAGGUUUUGUUUGUAAUGUCUGACAGACUGUUGUUCAUCUUGUCUGUGCUUGUUUGACAGCCAUUUAUUAAAAUGUUGUUUUUUACUGGCUUUAAUGUAGUUCUGUUAUGUAUUUAGCUAUUGAGUUGAAAUCUCUAAGAGAGUAAUUCUAAUUCUUUGAGUUUGAAAGUAUUUUUUUUUUACUUCCUUUAAUCAAGUUUUAUUUAAGAAGGUCUUUUCAUUUCAAGUCUAUCUAGUUUGGAAUGUGAAACUAGUUCAUUUCUUAGUUUUCUUUUUUUUUAAUUUUAAAAAGUAAUCUAUAUCAUUAUUUGUUUAAGUUCUAUUAAAUUUUUUUUUUAAGAAUAAUAAAGGUGAAAACAACUUUGAGGAAAUAUUCAUGGCUUUUCAGAAUUCAAUUUAUCACUGAGAUGUUAGGAUAAACAUGAAGUUGGUUUUAAAUAACUGCAACUGUACUAAUAGUCUUAUUUGUUUAUUUCUGUUUUCUGAAAGUUUAUGCAUGUUGAUUUGACUAUACACAUCCUCCCUCAACAUACAACAUGUUAACCUGACAAUACAUAGUUACUAUGACUUACUACAUGUGACCAGACACUACAUUUCCCUAUUACUUACUGCAUUACUUACUGCAUGCUUAACUUACUAUACACUCACAUUGCAUAUCAAAAAUAAUUUUAAUUCUUUGAGAUUUUCAGAAGAAUAAUUAGUUUUUUUCUGAUACGAGUCAAACAACAUGGAGGAAAUUCCAUUUCAAGAACUAAACAUGCCUCCUUGCCAUUGUGAUUGAGGUGAAGUUUUAUCAUUAGACUUUAUUGAAUGUUUCUUCAAGCAAUAUGACAAAAUAAAAACAUUGCAACAUACUGCAUGUUGACUUAAGAAUACAAUUCUUUUUUUGGCUCAUUGCAUAUUGACCUGGCAAUUGUAGGGACUUGUUGCAUAUGGACAUGAUUUCUACAACAUUUAAGGAGACAGAUUGUAUAUUGACCUGGCAAUAGACACAUGUAGGGACUUGUUGCAUAUGGACAUGAUUUCUACAACAUUUAAGGAGACAGAUUGUAUAUUGACAUGGGGUGUAAGGGUGUUGAAAAGGUGAUUUGACAGCCAUAUUCUACUUUAGAAUAGUGAAAAGCCUGAAGUUCCCAUCUACCUAACUCAUGUAUGGCUCCUCAUGCUACACCUCGGCAAACGUCUUGGUUUAUUGGCUGAAUACAUGAGUGAAAACAGUUACUUAACAAAAGGAUUUGUAAAGUAAAUUUUGUAUUGAUAAUUAAUAUUUUUGUUUGUUUUUUUACAGAAAAUAAAAAAAAAAAAUAGAUUACAUUGG